ACCUCAAGAAUUCAAGAAACUUGGAAUUCAGAGCAGAAGAUAGAAGAUGCAGCAAAUCGAUUAAGUGGGUAAGAACAAAGAAGUACUUUUGAUGAGCAGAGAGAGAGAGAGAGAGAGAGAGAGAGAGAGAGAGAGAGAGAGAGAGAGAGAGAGAGAGAGAGAGAGAGAGAGAGAGAGAGAGAGAGAGAGAGAGAGAGAGAGAGAGAGAGAGAGAGAGAGAGAGAGAGAGAGAGAGAGAGAGAGAGAGAGAGAGAGAGAGAGAGAGAGAGAGAGAGAGAGAGAGAGAGAGAGAGAGAGAGAGAGAGAGAGAGAGAGAGAGAGAGAGAGAGAGAGAGAGAGGGAGAUGGGAGAAAGGGAGGGAACAGUAGGACAGGGGAAGAAAGAAGUGAAACAACAGAAUUUUUGGCCAAC
rnacentral:lncRNA from 1 species